GAUGAACGCUAGCGGCAGGCUUAAUACAUGCAAGUCGAGGGGCAGCAUGAGUAGCAAUACUUGAUGGCGACCGGCAAACGGGUGCGGAACACGUACACAACCUUCCUUCGAGCGGGGAAUAGCCCAGGGAAACUUGGAUUAAUACCCCAUAGUAUAUUGAAAAGGCAUCUUUUUGAUAUUAAAGAUUUAUCACUUGAAGAUGGGUGUGCGGCUGAUUAGGUAGUUGGCAGGGUAACGGCCUACCAAGCCUACGAUCAGUAGCUGAUGUGAGAGCAUGAUCAGCCACACGGGCACUGAGACACGGGCCCGACUCCUACGGGAGGCAGCAGUAAGGAAUAUUGGUCAAUGGACGAAAGUCUGAACCAGCCAUGCCGCGUGGAGGAUGAAGGUCCUCUGGAUUGUAAACUUCUUUUAUAAGGGACGAAAAAAGGGUAUUCUUACUCACUUGACGGUACCGUAAGAAUAAGCACCGGCUAACUACGUGCCAGCAGCCGCCGUAAAAC
rnacentral:rRNA from 1 species